rnacentral:lncRNA from 1 species
GCGCGUUUAAUCCACUUCACCUCAAAGAUUGCAGCUAUAAAUAAUCGAAACUUUUUUACUUCACAUUCAUAAUUCAUUACAAAAGAUCAUCAAUACAGUCCACAAAUGGAAGGCUUAAUCCCAUUUCUCCUUCACGCCAUCAAGAAACAGAGUUUGCAACACGCAUACCGCUGCCUGUCCGAUAGUUCCAACCACAGCUACCACCUCCUGCAGUCAAUUGAGGGCGGCUCCUCCCACCGCAAAACACGAUCUGAAUUUCAGAAGCCGCCGGAGGCGGUGGCCAAUAUGUCCUAUACAACAAAGCCGCACCAGAGCUUGCGGGGCGUCUCGUUAAGAAGCUAAUAACGGCUUUAGACACGGGGGUUUUGCUUCAACCACUAGUUUAAUUACCAAUUAAGUUGACGAAAAAUAUCAUAAAGUUGGUAUUAAAUGUUAUUAUUUUGUUAUUAUAUAUCGUCGGACGGACAACCCCCACAAAAAAAAGUGUGAUAAAAAUGAUAAUUUGGUGUUAUUUGUGAUGAAUUUUGUAGUGUGACUCAAAAAAAAAAAAAAAAUUGUUUACAUUUGUCAGGAAAAUUUGUAAAUUUCUACUUUUGAUGGUAAAUUUAUCAUUUUAUCAUUUUACGUCAAGUGUGAACUUUAAAUGACUUCUUUUCAAAGAUGAAAUGAACGCGAUUUCCUGCUCAAUUUGUGUGUCAAAGUAUACGACUACAGUAAUGAAAUGUUUUACGUCUUUUGGAUAAUUAUAUUAUCUAAAUUUGCAAUCCAUAUUUCAGAUUUUACAAAUAUCAUUGAACACAUAAAUCAUGUUAGAACACGAUGAUUAGAAAUUUACAAAAUAAGGUAAUAUCUAUCUUAGAAUUUACUAAAUUUCGGCUAAUAUCCUUAAUACAAUUAUAUAUAUACAGAAUUCACGAAAUUUUG